UACGUAGGGUGCAAGCGUUAUCCGGAAUCACUGGGCGUAAAGCGUGCGUAGGUGGAUGUUUAAGUGAGAUGUUAAAUCGUGUGGCUCAACCAUAUCGAUGCAUCUCAUACUGGACGUCUAGAGGACAGCAGAGGCAAGUGGAAUUUGUAGUGUAGCAGUGAAAUGCGUAGAUAUUACAAGGAACACCAAUGGCGAAGGCAGCUUGCUGGGCUACUCCUGACACUGAGGUACGAAAGCGUGGGGAGCGAACAGG
rnacentral:rRNA from 1 species